AUACGGAGGGUGCAAGCGUUAUCGGGAAUCAUUGGGUUUAAAGGGUCCGUAGGCGGGCGAUUAAGUCAGAGGUGAAAUCCCACAGCUCAACUGUGGAACUGCCUUUGAUACUGGUUGUCUUGAGUUACAGUGAAGUAGAUAGAAUGUGUAGUGUAGCGGUGAAAUGCAUAGAUAUUACACAGAAUACCGAUUGCGAAGGCAGUCUACUAACUGUAUACUGACGCUAAUGGACGAAAGCGUGGGGAGCGAACAGGAUUAGAAACCCCAGUAGUCC
rnacentral:rRNA from 1 species